rnacentral:misc_RNA from 1 species
GAAAUGCGAUAAGUAGUGUGAAUUGCAGAAUUCAGUGAAUCAUCGAAUCUUUGAACGCACAUUGCGCCCCUUGGUAUUCCAUGGGGCAUGCCUGUUCGAGCGUCAUUUGUACCCUCAAGCUCUGCUUGGUGUUGGGUGUUUGUCCCCGUCUCCGCGCGUGGACUCGCCCCAAAGUGAUUGGCAGCCGGCGUACUGGUCCCGGAGCGCAGCACAUGUCGCGCAAACGAGUGCCUUGGUACGGCGGCGUCCAUAAGCCCCUCUCUCACGCUCUUGACCUCGGAUCAGGUAGGGAUCCCCGCUGAACUUACGC